UGGGGGAUAUUGCACAAUGGGCGAAAGCCUGAUGCAGCGACGCCGCGUGGGGGAUGAAGGCCUUCGGGUUGUAAACUUCUUUUGCUCUGAACAAGGCAUGCCUUUGGGGUGUGUUGAGUGUAGGGGUUGAUUAGCGCCGGCUAACUACGUGCCAGCAGCCGCGGUAAUACGUAGGGCGCGAGCGUUGUCCGGAAUUAUUGGGCGUAAAGGGCUUGUAGAUGGCUGGUUGCGUCUGUCGUGAAAGCUCAUGGCUUAACUGUGGGUUUGCGGUGGGUACGGGCUGGCUUGAGUGCAGUAGGGGAGGCUGGAAUUCCUGGUGUAGCGGUGGAAUGCGCAGAUAUCAGGAGGAAUACCGGUGGCGAAGGCGGGUCUCUGGGCUGUUACUGACGCUGAGGAGCGAAAGCGUGGGGAGCGAACAGG
rnacentral:rRNA from 1 species